UACGUAGGAGGCAAGCGUUAUUCGGAUUUACUGGGCGUAAAGAGGGCGCAGGCGGUUUUUCAAGUUGGGUGUAAAAUCUCCCCGCUUAACGGGGAGGGAUCGCCCGAUACUGUUGAGCUAGAGGGCAGCAAAGGGAGGUGGAAUUCCCGGUGUAGUGGUGAAAUACGUAGAUAUCGGGAGGAACACCAGUGGCGAAGGCGGCCUCCUAGGCUGUUUCUGACGCUGAGGCCCGAAAGCGUGGGGAGCGAACAGG
rnacentral:rRNA from 1 species